rnacentral:rRNA from 1 species
GACGAACGCCGGCGGCGUGCUUAACACAUGCAAGUCGAACGGAAAGGCCCUGCUUUUGUGGGGUGCUCGAGUGGCGAACGGGUGAGUAACACGUGAAUAACCUGCCCUUGACUUUGGGAUAACUUCAGGAAACUGGGGCUAAUACCGGAUAGGAGCUCCUGCUGCAUGGUGGGGGUUGGAAAGUUUCGGCGGUUGGGGAUGGACUCGCGGCUUAUCAGCUUGUUGGUGGGGUAGUGGCUUACCAAGGCUUUGACGGGUAGCCGGCCUGAGAGGGUGACCGGCCACAUUGGGACUGAGAUACGGCCCAGACUCCUACGGGAGGCAGCAGUGGGGAAUAUUGCACAAUGGGCGGAAGCCUGAUGCAGCAACGCCGCGUGCGGGAUGACGGCCUUCGGGUUGUAAACCGCUUUCGCCUGUGACGAAGCGUGAGUGACGGUAAUGGGUAAAGAAGCACCGGCUAACUACGUG